rnacentral:rRNA from 1 species
CAGGACGAACGCUGGCGGCGUGCCUAAUACAUGCAAGUCGAACGGUCUUUCUAUGGAAGCUUGCUUCCACUGAGAAGAUAGUGGCGAACGGGUGAGUAACACGUGGGUAACCUGCCCAUAAGAGGGGGGAUAACAUCCGGAAACGGGUGCUAAUACCGCAUAGUUUUCUUGAUCGCAUGAUCGGGAAAGGAAAGACGGCCUUUGUGCUGUCGCUUAUGGAUGGACCCGCGGCGUAUUAGUUAGUUGGUGAGGUAACGGCUCACCAAGACGAUGAUACGUAGCCGACCUGAGAGGGUGAUCGGCCACAUUGGGACUGAGACACGGCCCAAACUCCUACGGGAGGCAGCAGUAGGGAAUCUUCCGCAAUGGACGAAAGUCUGACGGAGCAACGCCGCGUGAGUGAAGAAAGGUUUUCGGAUCGUAAAACUCUGUUGUCAGAGAAGAACAAGUUGGAGAGUAACUGCUCCAGCCUUGACGGUAUCUGACCAGAAAGCCACGGCUAACUACGUGCCAGCCGCUGC